rnacentral:rRNA from 2 species
GGUACGCACGCUGGCGGCGUGCUUAACACAUGCAAGUCGAGCGGGCAUCAGCAAUGGUGUCAGCGGCGGACGGGUGCGUAACGCGUGAAUAAUCUGUCCUUGCUAGGGGGAUAACGACUGGAAACAGUCGCUAAUACCGCAUAAGACCACGGUGGGGAGUCCUACUGAGGUAAAAGGAGUUAAAUCUGAGCAAGGGUGAGUUCGCGUCCCAUUAGGUAGUUGGUGAGGUAAAGGCCCACCAAGCCUGCGAUGGGUAGCCGAUCUGAGAGGAUGACCGGCCACACUGGAACUGAGAAACGGUCCAGACUCCUACGGGAGGCAGCAGUGGGGAAUAUUGGGCAAUGGGCGAAAGCCUGACCCAGCGACGCCGCGUGAGGGAAGAAGGCCUUCGGGUUGUAAACCUCUGUCCCAUGUGAAGAGAAGAAGACGGUAGCAUGGGAGGAAGCCCCGGCUAACUACGUGCCAGCAGCCGCGGUAAUACGUAGGGGGCGAGCGUUGUCCGGAAUGACUGGGCGUAAAGGGCGUGUAGGCGGCUCUUUAAGUAUCAGGUGGAAGUCCCGAAUUCAAAGCGGGAAUUGCCUGGUAGACUGGAGGGCUUGAGUGUCGGAGAGGUAAGUGGAAUUCCCGGUGUAGCGGUGAAAUGCGUAGAGAUCGGGAGGAACACCAGUGGCGAAGGCGACUUACUGGACGAAGACUGACGCUGAGACGCGAAAGCGUGGGUAGCAAACAGGAUUAGAUACCCUGGUAGUCCACGCUGUAACGAUGGAUGCUAGGUGUAGGAGGUAUCGACCCCUUCUGUGCCGUAGUUAACUCAAUAAGCAUCCCGCCUGGGGAGUACGGCCGCAAGGUUGAAACUCAAAGGAAUUGACGGGACCCCGCACAAGCAGCGGAGCAUGUGGUUUAAUUUGACGCAACGCGAAGAACCUUACCAGGUCUUGACAUCGAUGGAACACUGAGAGAUUAGUGGUGCCCGCAAGGAGCCAGAAGACAGGUGGUGCAUGGCUUGUCGUCAGCUCGUGUCGUGAGAUGUUGGGUUAAGUCCCGCAACGAGCGCAACCCUUGUC